rnacentral:rRNA from 1 species
UACAGAGGGUGCGAGCGUUGUCCGGAAUCACUGGGCGUAAAGGGCGCGUAGGCGGCCCUUCUUGUCGCGUGUGAAAGCCCCGGGCUCAACCUGGGAAUGGCGCGCGAGACGGGGGGGCUGGAGUUCGGGAGAGGAGCGUGGAAUUCCCAGUGUAGAGGUGAAAUUCGUAGAUAUUGGGAAGAACACCGGUGGCGAAGGCGGCGCUCUGGACCGAGACUGACGCUGAGGCGCGAAAGCGUGGGGAGCAAACAGG